rnacentral:rRNA from 1 species
UACGAAGGGGGCUAGCGUUGUUCGGAAUUACUGGGCGUAAAGCGCACGUAGGCGGAUUUGUUAGUCAGGGGUGAAAUCCCGGGGCUCAACCUCAGAACUGCCUUUGAUACUGCAAGUCUCGAGUCCGGAAGAGGUGAGUGGAAUUCCUAGUGUAGAGGUGAAAUUCGUAGAUAUUAGGAAGAACACCAGUGGCGAAGGCGGCUCACUGGUCCGGUACUGACGCUGAGGUGCGAAAGCGUGGGGAGCAAACAGG